GAUGAACGCUGGCGGCGUGCUUAACACAUGCAAGUCGAGCGAAAAGACGAGGAGGUUGCUCCUCUGACGUGAGCGGCGGACGGGUGAGUAACAUGUGGCGAACCUACCUAUGAGACGGGGAUAACUUAGUGAAACGGGUACCAAUUCCGGCUAAUAUAUUGAGGCGGAUGGUUCAAGAGUGUAAGGCGGUGUUUCAGUCACGUGUCGAUGAAUCCGUUCCUGAUUAGCUAGUUGGUAAGGUAACAGCUUACCAAGGCAACGAUGCGUAGCCGAGCUGAGAGGGUGAUCGGCCACACUGGAACUGAGACACGGCCCAGACUCCUACGGGAGGCAGCAGUGGGGAAUUUUGGGCAAUGGGCGAAAGCCUGAUGGAGCAAUGCCGCGUGAGUGAAGAAGGCCUUCGGGUCGUAAAACUCUGUUAUCAGGGAAGAACAGGUUUGUAAGUAACUAGGCAGGUGUUGACGGUACCUGAAGAAAAAGCACCGGCUAACUACGUG
rnacentral:rRNA from 1 species